GAUGAACGCUAGCGGGAGGCCUAACACAUGCAAGCCGAGCGGUAUUUCUUCUUCGGGAGAGAGAGAGCGGCGUACGGGUGCGGAACACGUGUGCAACCUGCCUUUAUCUAGAGGAUAGCCUUUCGAAAGGAAGAUUAAUACUCUAUAAUAUAUUAAUUGGCAUCAAUUGAUAUUGAAAACUCCGGUGGAUAGAGAUGGGCACGCGCAAGAUUAGCUAGUUGGUGAGGUAACGGCUCACCAAGGCAAUGAUCUUUAGGGGGCCUGAGAGGGUGAUCCCCCACACUGGUACUGAGACACGGACCAGACUCCUACGGGAGGCAGCAGUGAGGAAUAUUGGUCAAUGGGUGCAAGCCUGAACCAGCCAUCCCGCGUGAAGGAUUAAGGUCCUAUGGAUUGUAAACUUCUUUUGUAUAGGGAUAAACCUACCCUCGUGAGGGUAGCUGAAGGUACUAUAUGAAUAAGCACCGGCUAACUCCGUGCCAGCAGCCGCCAGUAACAC
rnacentral:rRNA from 1 species